AAAAGACAGUAGUUAAACUCUACUAUUAAGGG
rnacentral:tRNA from 1 species